rnacentral:rRNA from 1 species
AUGAACGCUGGCGGCGUGCCCAAUACAUGCAAGUCGAGCGAACGGACGAGAAGCUUGCUUCUCUGAUGUUAGCGGCGGACGGGUGGGUAACACGUGGAUAACCUACCUAUAAGACUGGGAUAACUUCGGGAAACCGGAGCUAAUACCGGAUAAUAUUUUGAACCGCAUGGUUCAAAAGUGAAAGACGGUCUUGCUGUCACUUAUAGAUGGAUCCGCGCUGCAUUAGCUAGUUGGUAAGGUAACGGCUUACCAAGGCAACGAUGCAUAGCCGACCUGAGAGGGUGAUCGGCCACACUGGAACUGAGACACGGUCCAGACUCCUACGGGAGGCAGCAGUAGGGAAUCUUCCGCAAUGGGCGAAAGCCUGACGGAGCAACGCCGCGUGAGUGAUGAAGGUCUUCGGAUCGUAAAACUCUGUUAUUAGGGAAGAACAUAUGUGUAAGUAACUGUGCACAUCUUGACGGUACCUAAUCAGAAAGCCACGGCUAACUACGUG